AAGCAAAUUGUUAGCUGCGAAUAUUGCACAAUAUGGGCAACAAAAAAGAUCUGGGAUAAUACAAUACAAGAAUGAGACAAAUAAGUCGCCAUUUAUUUUUGUGGUUAGUGGAUGCAAAUCCAAAUACAAGCUCAGUUGAGAUUCAACAGAAUGUGCCCUUGAAAGCAGCAAGAAUCUCACCAUCUUGGACAUCGAUGCAGCAAAGACUGUGUAAUGGGGGACAUUUGCAAAAUUAGUCACAUGAAAAUGCACGCCGGCCAAACACCGCAUCGAGAUCAAGGUUUGUUUUCUCCACUCUGUUUUAUUCUGCAGCGAUCUUUGGAUUCUACACAAACAGGAGCAAGUGAAGGCGAUGUAGAGAUUGGGUUCCCUGCACCAAGCUCGCCUGGUGGGUGCCGGGGCCAGAGACUGGGGUCGUCUCCUCUCGACGACCAGGGCCACUGCAACGCCGACUGUCUAGACACGGAAGUCUUUCUUCCCAGAUCGUGACUGACAGCGAUCUCCGGGGGACGAAACGGCGUGAUCCUUUACUCGCUAGACCAGAUUUAGUGUUACUGCGACUAGUCGGCACACGAUGACGACCUCGAUGCAAGAUUUGCAGCUCCAGUAGCUGCCAGAUCUGUGCUCAUCCAAGCCUCGAGGACGAGGGUCACCGUGUUCAGGCUGCAGGGUCGCGUCGCUUCAUAAAGCAGCACUUGCAGAGGUAGAUGGAGAUGGACUGGGUGGUUUGUCUUGUGUGUAGUUUGUGCAGCGGAUACAACUCAAGUUAGAAGUUUAUUUUUGUACAAGUGUUAUAUACAGGCUAAGUUAAUGGUCGCAGUAACUCCGAGCACAUGGUAACUAUUGGCCUAUGACGUGACGUGGACCAUAUGAUAACGAGGAGUUGGACUGGAUAUCAGUCGACGACAGCGGCGCAGCUCCUCGCGCUUGCGGUGUAGUUGGCGAUGGCCGUUUGCCGUCGAUUGUGCAAGUUAAUUUAUGCAUCAACUUUGUGUUGGGUAGGAUUGGUGCUGUCGCAUGAGUGCUUUGUGAGAGGAGGUGUGAGUAAUACAGUUAGGGUGGUAGGUUCUCGUUCUAAUGGAUCAUAGGGGAUUUCAGGGUUAGUUUCAGAGAGGUCUCUAGUCAGGUAUUACACAGUUCGUAAAGGGUACUCUACAGGGGUGUUCACGUCAUGGUCAGAAUGCAGAGUUCAAGUUUAGCGUUACCGGGGUGCAGAAUAUAAGAAAUUCAAUGAGCGUGGAGAAGCAAAAAAAUUGUGCAACAAAAAAGCUAAGUUCAAUUUGCAUUCUAGUUUCGGAUUUGUAUAACUAGGCUAGGAUUUUCUUCAAUCCAGCAUUUUCUUUGUAAAUAAAAUUGGCUGGUCCCAAUGCUUUUGUGAACAAA